GGAUGUGACAGUUAUCUGGCUGUGACAUCUGUCACCCUAUGAUCACCAAGGCUGAUUUGGCUGAUAUGGCAGUCUAGACAGGUGUCCUCUUCUCUCUCUACUCUCUGUGUCUCUCCCAAAGCUGUGUGCUUGGACAGAGGAUGACCUCCGUUUGAGGAGGAACAGUCUUCAGUCAAGGCUAUAGGGGUGACUGUGCUCCCUUGCCAGAACCCCCUAACAAGCCCUCAGUAUCCCAGUACACACUACAUUAGCCCCUGGGGAACAUUUCCUAUUCAAACCUUAACAAGUGCACAGUGGUCAGAGCAGACCUGAUUU
rnacentral:snRNA from 1 species